GGGGCGGAGCUGCUGCCUUUAUGGCAGGGCAGCAGGGGGUGAAGUGGAGCCAGGACAGGUGGCCCGAAUGAGGCAAUUAGGCCAGCCAUGACCCAUCACACCGAAGGGCAUAAAGCUGUGGAGGAGUUGGCCGAGAGGUAACAAUGUGGAUCGUCUGCUGGUGAGCGGAGGGAGGUUUUGUCUUGCUGGUGGAGUGUCUAAUGGCUGCUGUGCAUUAGUCAGCAAGUGGUAACAGUGCCUGAGGAGAUACAUUAAGGGAAACAGAAGGCUCCUCUUCCUCAUCUCUAACGUGUUUGGCUGCAGACACCACAAGCUGAAAUUCUGAGUGACAAGCAUCAUUUCUAAGACCACAAUUUCACUUGGAAAAGUGGAGCAGAGUUGGAGGAGGAGAUGGAGGAAGAGAGAUUAAACAACUCAGAAAACAGAUGGAGAAAUGGAAUAGAAUCACUACUGUACCCUGAGAAGAGACUUGGAUGACAGCCAAAAGCCUUAUCUGGAUGAGGUCCUUAUUAAAUAUUCAAGAUCAAUAAAAUUAACAAACAAGAAACAACGCUGGCUUAUUGUCUGCUCUGAAUGACAGUGAAAAACAAUCUGAAAUUCACAAAAUAUUGUUGACCUUUCAGCAGUAAAUCCAAUAAAAGAGAAAGUGGGUCAAACUGAAGCCAUUUAAGGCGCAUCUUGAAGUUAAUCAGGAAACUUGACCUCCAUCUGUUCCUGAACGAACAAAAGUCUUGCAGAACCGAGUAGAAAAUUUAGAUUACACUGUAGGCACAGUUACCACAUAAAACCCUGCUGAAGACUGUUCCACACUUGUAACAGCUCAAAAGAAAAAAAAAAAUGGUUGCAAAAUGAAAGGGAUAGCAAAGUCAAUGCUUCUUAUCCACAGCAAAUCAAAUUUAGGAAUGAAAUGCAGCAGAAAAAAUCCCAGUGAUCCACGAGAAUUAAAAGUCCUGCACACUGAUUCACACAAAAAAAUGUGAUGAAGGAUGCUACUCAAAGUUUGGUGCUCAAGCAAGAAGGUGACAGUCACUGUACCUGUGGGCAAGAGAACACAUCAACGGAGCCUUCCCAAAGGUCAGCCAAAGAGAUGGAUUUUGACACAGAUUUCCAAUACUCUGCAGGAAAAUGAAUAACGGACACACGUGAGAAUACUGCAAUAUCCUUCCUGCAUUUUCCAAGUUGUACUACAAAUGAGAUAAUAGACAGAAUGUUUUAGUGUUUUUAAAUGGAAAAAGAUAAUCCAUUAUAGUGCAAACAAUUCUGGUAAGUAAUAAAAAUAUUUUUCACAGAAAUGUAAGUGAUAUUAAAGGUAUGCCACUGAAAAACAAAGAUGACAAAUUAAAACUGCAGUGUUCACACAGAGUUUUCUGUGAGCAGCUGCUUGUUUGCAUAUAGAACUGAAGAAUACAUUUGUAGGUGCAAUCCAUUAUCUUUUUAUACUUCAAGUUUUCUAAUUUUCGUGAUUAACACCAGCUAAGACUUUCCCAAAGAAGACUGGAUUUAUGGAUUAAGGUUAUAGUAGUUACAGUACAGGGCAGAAGCAAAAUCACGACUGAUAAUUUUUACAAAAUCAAUUUCUCAUGUUUCAAUUCAUUUCUCAUGUUUCUGAGAGAUUUUCAUUUAUAAACAGACACAACUAUGCUUAGAUAUAGCAUGAACUCUAUCGUGCAUGGAACACAAUCUAAAAGAAAAUCAGCUAGUGGUUUUUUAUUGUCUUUUGCUCACCACCUUCCUUGAAAAAGAAAAGUUCAGUGGCUGUCCUUACAGAACAAGACUGAUGAAUUAGAAAGUCAUCAACCUAUCUGUCCAUAUAAGGACACAAAAAAAAUGCAAAAUCUUGUUGCUUUAUGCGCAAUGCUGUUACAGUAGUUUGGCAAAACACCCCAAAGACCUCAGUCACAACAGCUGAUGCUCCUUUAAGCCAUCAAUAACCUGCCAUACGUACACUAACAAAUAACAAUAUUAGAAAUAAGAAUAUGCAUUAAGUCAGGAUUUUUACUGCCUUGUUGCAGGUGCAAAGACAGAAGUCUAGAGCUGUGAGACCAGCUGCCAGAUCUGGUGGCUGAGCUGAGAACAGACUCCAGGUGGGUGCUUUGCCACCGGAGUUGCAGGAAUCCAGCUGCAACAGCUCUGCUCUCACAGCAGAGGAAUGGGUGAGAUUUAGAAAGGCCCGUAGGUCCCUCUUUCUUCUGAUUAAUUCCAUUUAAAUACCAACAGAGGUUGGCUGUCUUUUGAAAGGUAACCACGAGAAAAAACCAGAGAGGAGUUUAUGUCAAAACUGUUUUGAAACAUUCUUGACCUCUGAAAGUGAGACACAAAUUCAAACAGUGGUUGAAGCCACAUCUGCUUAGCAAAAAAUCAUGAAAGGAACAAGCCUUCUGUCUGAAGAAACUAUUUUUGGUUUCUGGUGACAGCUUUGACAGACUUUCUCAAAUAAGCUUGUAUCAAUUUAAAGCACACUUGGUCUCAUUCCAAGGAAACUGUGGCAAAUGUGGUGGGCUUCCUAGGAAGAGUAUGAUUAGAAAAGGUUGCAAAUGGUAUGUGAAUUUAACAACUGCUAGCAGGGUUGUCCCUCCUUAGUGUGUAUGUCUCCACAGGAUAAAGGCCUCUUGAAAAGUAUGCAAGAUAGUUUUAAUCCCAUUAGUACAACCAAGGAUGUACUGUUAUUAGAUAACAUUUUUUAGGCAUAUGGUUAGCAAGGCUGAUUAUCCGCUUCUACACAGGCAAAACACAUUCCAACAACAUAAAAUUGUGACCAAGCAGCAUGCAAUCUGGCCAAACUACAACUACUUCUAAACUACUUCUGCUAAGAUCCCACCGACAUUAAAAUUUACAAGUAACGUCAGGAAAAAUAUUCCUAAAAAUCCUAUCACCUUCUGCCUGUCACAGCAUUUUCAGUGCUUUUCAAAUGAAAUAACAUAAUGAAGAUACUACACCAGUUGAUUUUGAGGACCCAAGAAAAAAAGUCAGAGCUAUGGUCUGUACGACUUGAUUUUCUCAGGUCAUUUUAUUAUAGAAUUAAUUUCUUAUAUCCAAAUGAAAUUUAGUUCAGAAGAAAUUCUCAUAGGGCAUGUGUACUAUACACUUGUUUGCCAUAGAUUUUCCAGGUGAAUAGGUUGAAAAGGUUGUAAAUGUGUAAAAAUAAUGUAAGUAUUAAGAAGCUUUAUACAUCACAUGCGUAAAAUAGGUUAAAAUUAUUCAUAUGACAAAGCUAUUUUUUUAAAAAGUAAUAAAUGGCCCUAUACAUUAACAUUUCACUUACAAGUUAACACAAUUUUUUCUUCCCACAUCUUUUAGCUGUAGAAUAGUCCUGUUUCCUUUUCUUGGGUGGAAGGAAUUCAAAGGCAAAAGAGUCUUAUGAAAAGCCCCAUGAGUCAUUAUUUGUCAAGAAAAAGAUGCACAGGGGAAGAGCCAGAAAGGUUGAGGACAGCAAAGACAGUCCAAUAGCUGAGUUACAUGCUUCCCAGGACAAAUGGAUUCUGUCUCUAAUUCUGCCAAAGAAUUGCCAGGUAAAACUUGCACCCAAGUACUAAGGCUCAUGUGAGAUGUUGCUGCUGACACUGAAAUGCCUAUGUCAGGCCCAAAUCUUUCCUACGCCCCCCAUUUUGCCACCAUUUUCUGUACAAAUGGGAGCCACAGGAAGCUUGGAGCAGGUGUCACACCACCAAACAUGCAGAAUGGAAAUAAUUUGUUAGGAAAAGCUGAAGAAAGGAGUCUGUCUGAUUCUUUCCUUUCUGGAUGAGACAGCUCCCUGAGAUGAGAAUUCAAAGGCCAGAACCAUAUUCCAUCGCUUAGUUUAUCCAGCUCUGCAUAGAUGCCAGUUCUACAGGGUAGUGCUCCUGUUCCCUGAAAUGAUGACUAGAAUACUCACUCAAAAUUCACAUACUUUAUAGUCUUUUCUCAGCUUCAAACAUAUAUUAAUUACUUAGGAGAGAAGAACAGCCUAUCUCUGGAUUGAAAAAUAAGUAGAAAUUUAUAGAAUCAUAGAAUCGCUAAGGUUGGAAAAGACCCACAGGAUCAUCCAGUCCAACCAUUUGCCCUUCACCAAUGGUUCUCACUAAACCAUAUCCCUCAACACAAUAUAACAAAUUACAUAUAACCAAUAUAUGCCUGGCUUGUCAGUCCCAUCAAUGACAUUUCUUCCCUGCAACUCAGUUCUAACCUUCAUUUGCUUUGCUCUUUAUCUGCCACUUUCUUGGCAUUGUCUCAGUAUCUUGCUUAGUCAACUUUAGGUUCCAGGUGUCAUCUCAGUUCAUUCCCAAAUUCCAUUCAAUAAUUCAUAGGACCAGACUUCUUGGCUAGCUACCACACAGGCAUCACUGCCUGCUAAAACGUCACCAGCCUCUGCUUCCAAUGCAUCUCUUAAGCUCCUUCAGAUUAGCUGUCCCUUCUCCUUUUAAAAUAUACAUCUUCCUGCUCUACCACAUCUGGGCAACGUGAGAGGGAUUUAAAAAAGAGACCCUCUUAGUUCUCAUGAACAAACAGUUCCUAACUAUUUUGAUACACUAUGGGUAUUUUUUGGUAAUAUUUUAAAAAUUUUAGCAGCCUGAAAUUCCCUUUUUUGUGGCUUUGAAGCAUUUUUUUAGCUUAUAUAUGUAUAUUUUGAAUUGGGGGAUGUGGGAAGAGGAGAAUGUGUUAACAUCUUCCCAGAAGUUUCUUAAUCAUUCUGAGCACAGAAGUGAGUCAAAGCCAGAAACUAAUAGGAAAUGAAUACAAUUAAUGCUGCAACUUUUCUAAAAUAAACAUAUCAAAACAAUGAAAUUCAAUGCCUUCUGACAAGCUAAGUGUGUAUUUCUUUGCUUAUGUCUUUGAAUAGCAGUUAUUGUGAAGCAACCAUACAGUCAGCCUCCAAAUGAGGCAUACGGUGAUAGAAUUCAGGGAAAUGAGUACCUGGGAAAAUCCACAUUUCUCAGUAAUUACAGAGCAUCACUACAUCUGUGGUGGCUGUCUAGUUUUCCAACAUGAACACAGAGGAAUUACAUUAUGUGGAGAAGGAAAGUGCAAUUAUUUACGCUAGGUGUAUUCAAAAUUAACACGUAAUGUGUUGUCUUGCUAUGUAUUUUUCACAACUCAAAGUUCAUGGUGGAGACCCCUUCCUUACAUAAAAUUUAAGUGAUCUACAGAAAGGAAAAAGUCGGUAAGGACAGAGUAGUGCUACACACAGCAGUAAUUUUAAGAAACAAACAUAUGCCUCCUCUGCUAUUUCACUUGCCUCAACUGCUUCCAAGUCAGGUUGAGGGAAACAGCCUGCAAGAUAGGGCCUGCCUUGUAUUGAACAGUAUUUCUAGAGGCAUGUCUUCCUAACUCUUUCAUCCUUCAAUGACCUGAAACACACUGCAAUAAAGUUUUGCUUCUGGGUAUUCAUCUCAAAUUGAGAUUCUAGCAUUAGUUUACACAUCGCAAAUGACAUUACAGGAAAUGUAAAACAUUCUGCAGUUUAAUCUUUUAAGUGUUCUCAAAAGGAAAACAGUUCAAUGGAUAUUUGUUUAACAUCUGGCAUGUUUGAUCUUCCUGAGAAAUUGUCACGUGAAACAAUCUAUUACAGAACCUUUUUAUUUUUAAUCUUACACUGAUUACCUGCUAUUGGGCACUCCUUGAAACAGAACAUUAGAUUAGAGAUCAAACAAUGUUUUACAUGUACAGAAUUUGAUUAACGAAUUAAUGCAAUUCUGUUAUUCAACAGCAAAAAGUGGACUAUUCAUAAAUGGAAGCAGAGUAGCAAAGAAAUCUCAGUCAAAUGAGAUAAAAUAAAUUUUCAGUACAAAGAUUGGAUGAAAACCAUUUUUACCUGCUUCAGUGGCACUACACUUCUAAACAGGGAACAGUUUCCAUUCUAUGACCUAUUUACAUAACACUGUUAUCUCAUAAGCUGUAUGCUUUUUACUGCACUACUGAGUAAAAAGUUACAGAAAACUCAAUUGUGACAGCACUGAAUUAUGCUUAUAAACACUGAAAUGCAGCUACACAUCAAAAGGAAGAAAAUGAAUGGUUAAACAAUCUGAAUAGUUCAGGAAACAGAUUUUUCAUCUUUGGAUUGAUUGAGUUAAUGUAGUCAUUUAAGAGAGGCAUAUGCAUAGGCACUGUGCAAACUGUUGUUAGACAGACUAUAUAACAUGAAAAUAAUUAUCAUACAUGCACACAGCAAGUAGUUCCAUGUGUUCUUGGAAGUGAUGCAUCUUCUUGUGUAGUUAGACAAACAGACAGAUUUCAGGCUAUUUGUGAGCAUUCAAAUGACCAAAUUUAUGGUUGUGACUAUUCUAAGAAAAGAUUUUCUAUUUUUACCACAAGGAAGCAUAUUCACAAGCUUUUGUGUUCUGUGGCUGAUUAUGUAAAGGUUGCUCUGAAAGUAAUGUCACCUGUUUUAUUAUGUUGAACCACAACAUCAGAGGUGGAUGUCGGUGGUAUGGCAAUAGAGGUUGAAUCUUCCCACCAAUAUUCCAUUGCAUUUUGUUGCUGCGUGACAGAUGGCAGCAGAGGGGCAGUCUGACAGAACGGCAUCUGACAUAGAAGUGCAUAUGAAGCAAAGGUGUGUCACUGAAUUCCUCUGUGUGGAAAAAACAGCACCCACUGACAUUCUUCAAUGUUUGGUGAACCUUUGUGGAGACCAAAGAGCAAAUGUGAGCACAGUGAGGUGGUGGGUAGUGCAUUUCAGCAGUGGCAACAGUGAUGUGAAAGACAAACCACAUUCUGGACAGCCAUGCACUGCAGUAACACCACAAAAUGAAAGUCUUGGUGAGCUCAUCCAUGAGAACUGGCAGAUUACAACCAGAGAACUACGUAUGAAGUUGAAUAUCAGCUUCAGUGCAUUAGAAACAACAAUGGCAACAUUGGAAUAUCACAAAGUUUGUACCAGGUUCCACAAAUGCUCACAUAGGAACAGAAAGAAGUUUGCAAGUUUGCCGGAAUCUACUGAACAAAUAUGAGGCUGAAGGUGACAGGUUCCUGUGAAAGUGAAACCAUUAACUCUGACCACUCAUCACAACUUAGUCAGCCGAUGGCUCAAACUUCCAGAGUCAGGCCAGAGAAGAAGAAAGCCUUUCUCCUGCAAUAUUAUAACACCAGGCUCCAUAUCAGUUUGAAGACCAUGGAAGACCUUGCCCAUCUUGGCUGGACUGUCCCACCACACCCAUUGCACAGUCUGGAUUUGAUGCCUUCUGAUUUCUACCUGGUAAUCAUGCUGUCAUAGCACCUGUGAAACAGUGGGUCACCUCCACUGAUGCAGAUUUUUAUGAGCAUGGCAUGCUGGCUCUUGAUCUUCGGUGGUGAAAAUACACAGUUAAUGGUGGUGACUAUGUUGAAAAACAGUAUUUUGUAGCUGAGAAUUUGCUCAGUCAAACAAUGUUAUUGUGCUCUUUGUUGUAGUUUCCAUGGAAAAAAUAGGAAGCAUUACUUUCAGAGCAACAUAGGCACAUUAAAUCAAUGCAAAAUCCAUUAAAUUUCUAGAUCAUCUUGCAAUUGCAAUAGCAAGAAUGUCAUCAAUAAAUAUUCCAAGGAAAUAAAAUAUGUAUUUUUUAAUGUAUUCACAGUCUCUUGAGGAAUUGUACUGCAUACCUGCAGCAUUGGAACUGGCACUAUAUGCAUUCCUUAGUUAUACUGGCUAUUUCACUAGAGCAUACUUGGAAAUGGCCAGCAAUUAGACUUUAGGCACAUCUCUGCACAUCAUAUGGUAUUUCCAACAACAUGGCAUUAAAAAAAAAAAAACAAAAAAAAAAACCCCCCCACACAAAAAAACCACCACGUUGUAUUGUGGUCCCAGUAAGGAAUCUGUUAUAACGCUUGAACUUCAUUAUACCAAGUGGUCCAGCAGCGUCUGUCAAGUGAUGGCCAGACGCUACAGCAGACUUAUUGAUUUCGUGGACUCUCCUCAUCCGUUAUUUAAUCUCCCAGUAUACACUCCCUGGACAGUAGUUGCUGCUGCUAUUUAAAUUGAGACUCUUUUGGUCUGAAAGUAGCACUUCUACCUGACAUAAAAGAAAUCCUCCCUUCUGAAUGAAUCGGUAGGAUCUGUGUUAAGUGAAAGCUUGUCUCAUCUGACAGCUUCUUACUGAAUAUCAUGCCAGUACCUCCCAGAAAAACAUAGAAAGACUCUGGCAAAGAAGUGAGACUGAGAAGAGGGUUCUUUGUUCCUUGAACUGCUGUACAGUUGGACAGUGAAGAUAUAAAGACAUCUGUAGUCACUGAAGGCUAGCAUUUCCUCUGGCAUUACUGGUUUGACAAAUGAAGGGAAAACAAACACCCUGACCAUAGGAGCAGAAUGGCAGAAUCAUUGCAAAUCCAGAAGCAGACAACACUAAUAAACAAGUGAAAGUAAGCUUUCAGUGUUAUCCAAAGCAGCAUCCGACUGAGGAUCUGGAUCAAAACCUUCUCUGGAGAUUUAUGUAGGACAAAGAGCUUUUCUGUUCUUUCUUUGGGCACCUGAUGCUAAAUCCAGAUGGCUGACUCCUGGUAUUGGACAGAGUGACUGCCCUCUCAUUUGUUGAGAAAAUAUUUUCCCUCAGCCAAACGUAAGCCAAUUUUGGUAUUAUUGAACACAGAUCUAGGGAGCAAGCAGCCACAGUACUUUUUCAACUUAUUCAUCUAAGUGAAUAAGUUAAGAAAAUAAAGCCAGGAAAUUUUCCUCUGUCUAAUCAACAGACAGGCAAGAUAGCCAAAUGGUUUUAAAAAAGAUUAAAUCUAUGCCCAUAUUAAAUAGUUAAUCUCUUUUAAAGCUUUCCCUUUCCUUUCCUCUUCCCUCUUUCCUUUCUCCUUUCCUCUCUAUAUUUUUUUCUGCAUUAAGGAUGCUGUGUUGUCUGCACUUUUUAUAUAAUGAUGACAUGGAAUGAUUAUCCUUAUCUGUAUCACUUAAGAACAAUUCUCCUUUAAUUAAGAAGAUAAGCACUAGUGUUACAUCAUCCAUUCUACGUUAAGUGGAAUCCUGUAAAGUAAUUGUAAGAAGAUAUACUUUUUAACUUUGCUCAAGACAAUGAAAAAAACAAAGACUGGAUGUAGUUCCCUCCCCCAAGUAAUGCUUAGUUUAUACAUGACCAACACUGCCUAAUCCUACAUCCCACAGACUAACAGUUAAAAGACUGAAAAGAUUAAAACCCCCAGCUAUGCAAAGCCAGAAAACUUAGGCAACUAAUGUGUAUUUGGAAGAAAAACUCUGCCUUGGCUUCAAGUAAGGGUGGCGGAAAUAUACCCUGCUUCACCAUCCUGCUCAUUCAGCCUGUGAGAGACAAAGCUGCUUCUGCAGCACAGUGGGGUGGGUUUGAUGUGUUGCAGCAGGCCCAUGCAGCUGGCAGGGUGAGGUGUGUCACUGGGACACGGCCAGCUCAGAGAGCUGUAUGGUCUAAGGCUCCCCAGAUCAGAGCACAGUGAUUUUGUGCACAGUUACCCACACCCUUCUACAGCCAGUGCAAGGGUAGGAGACAGAAUGUAGCAGAAUGAGGGGUUACUGCAGGAGAACAAGCCUAGCUACCACCUUUGGGCCUCAGCUGCUCCCUGUCAGGCAGCUGUGUGUCAGGCCCUUCCUGGCCAACAGUUGUACAGCCUGCAGCCCUUGGUGUGUCAACAUGAAUGGUGGAGAUGUCCCUGGUUAGAUCCCCACAGCAUGAAAAAGCAUGUGAAGCUUUGCAAUUAUCUUUACUUUGCCUUUGUGUUGCUGCAAACAACAAUCGUUGUGGAGAUAAAUGGAUACAAACAAGACUGACAGGAUGUGCCAGUGAGAGGGACAGGCACAAAAUUCCCUACCCAUUGCCUCUUUGCCUGCUGGUCUUCAGAAAUACUUUAAAUUGUAUGUUUCAAAUGGAGCUAAAUACUGACAUUUCAGUAUGACAUUUUGUGAGGAACAGAAGUGGCUUUUUUAAGCAGAUACUGGAUGUGAAAACUGGCAAUCCAGCUAAAACCUCAGAAUCCUAUGCCCUCAUCAGCUAAACAACUAAGUCAGGAUAUCCAGAACUUUCAGAAAAUAAUGUAUUGCCAAAAAAUCCUAAGUACUUCUGCAAUAUUGUUAUCAAUGCUAUGAUGUUAGGUUUGUACAUCAAUAACUAAAGCCACCAUUACAGGUUGUUACUGGGCCGUUGUUAUCAAAGGAAAUAUGAAGACUUGAAAAUUAAUCCCAAAUGAAUGAAUUCUUUUAUUUGAAAACAAAAUCCAAAUCAAACAUCCAAAUGUUUGAGUCCCAAAUGUUUGAGUCCCAGAUAUUUCCUAAGAUACAUUGCCUCCAAGUGUUGGAAGUUUUAAUUAAAACUUGGUUUACAGGAUGAACCCUGAUUCUCAGAACUGCUGGCUAUCACUGAGUGACUGAUAGAGUAAAGAAAGUUUGAGAAAUUACCUGGACACAGAGUUUUUAAUAUUGCUAUGAUGAAAAUGAAUUUGCCAAAUAACCAUAUUUGGGAAUAUUGUUAAAAAUGCCUAAGAAUGUUAACAAAACUAUUGGAAUAUUAGGUCAAAGCUAAAAAAAAUAAAAGAACAUCCACUGGAAUUAGUACAAAGAACCACACCAGGUGACUAACUGAGCACUUCUGUAUCAGUUACAGCCAUGUCACAUUCUUCAAAGUUUUUCUUUAAAAUAUAAGGGCUUAAAACUAGAUGCUUUGGGGGAUGUUUUUUUUUUUUUUUUUCUUUUUCACAGAAGGAAUAAUUUCUAAAAUAUACACCUAAUGUCAGAUAAUGUUAACAUAAGUCACCUAUGAAAAAAUUAUAAACAACCUGACUACAACAACUCAAUAGUAAUUUCUUAAAGCGGCUGGCAGUCUUCACUGAUUCCUUCCAUUCUCUUCCUCACCAGCUCUGCUGUAGGCUGUCUCUGCAAGCACUGCAGGACUCCUUUGAGGACUAUCAAUGUGUUGGGCUUGUUGCAGUCUCAGCAGACUGCUGCCAAAACCCAUACUGCCAUUGGCGUGGCUCCCAAAGGGUUUGCACGCUUCAAAUAAUAAAGAUCUUUACAUGCAGUUUACAUUAGGAGGUAUCUGAGCAUUUGAUUAAAAAUUAAGACAUUCUUGAGUCUCUAAAGUCACUCCUAUUAGCACCAUCAAAUAGUUUCAGCCCUUUGCACUGCUACUGGGAGCUGCUCCUCUAUCUGGACCCCACAGCCUCCAGUCUACCUCUGCUUUGCCCAGUCUUUUCUUGUCAGACAGCUCAACUGGAGGAGUCUGCAUGGCUCUCCUACUUUGGCUACCACCAGAACACAGCACAGGGUUUUUUUUCUUUCCCCUUCAGUUCUGUGGAGGUAGGGAAGUCCUCUGCUUGGUGGGUAUUGAACCAGUAAGACUGAACAGUUAUGCUGCCAGCAUAUAAAAUUAUACUGUAGACUGCAUCAAUUUUGCUCACAUUUGAAAAGACAAAAGUAAAACAUCUGCUUUUACAGGACAAGACAUCAUUUUCGCUUCUUCCCUUCAAAAGAUUACAAAUGUACAAACAAAAAAAAUGGCAAAGUGAAAAAAAAAUCAGAAGAAUUGAAAUCAAAUAUAUUGGAACUAUUUGUUUAACACACACACACAAGAAGCUGAAAUUUGUUCUUCUUUUCUCCUUCUUUGAAAGGCAGCAAAAUAUUAAAAACAGGAUUCCCUACUCUAUUGAAGUUCAGUGUUUCCUACAGACCUAAGAGCUUACAACACCAUGAAGCGAGCAGUCUAUCAGAAGGGCUGUUUGCUCUUUGGUAUGUCACCAUUUGGACAGAGGACAGGAGAUUAGGUGUAACUGUGGCUCGAUCUGCUUUGCUUGCCAAGUAAUUUUAAGUACCAGCAAUAUCAAACCCAUGUAAUGUCUGGCCUUCUACAGAUGAGCCAAAUGAGAGAUGAUAUCUCUGAAGGCACAUGAGCAGCUCAUUGCUAUGGAAUGGAAUGGAAGCCAACUAAUGUGACACCUCACCUCUAACAUAACAUCAAGAAGUUGAAGAGCAGCCAAUGAGCAGGCACAUUCAUCUACAUGAAUAUAUUUUCAUAAAUUUGUUCUUCCUUGUUUUGACAAGAUUUUAAAAAUAUAUGCAUUAAAAAUAAUCACAAAAAUUAUGUCAGAAUUUCUGUACUCUACUUUCAAUAUAGUGUCAUUCACGGGUAUUAUACAGCAAAUUUCAUAAUGACUAGGAAUAUUUACUCCUAGGAAUGCCUGAGCAUAGUUGUAUAGCAAUAAGUGUCUGAGAAGAAUUGUAUAAAACGUUUGCAAGGAUAUGAAUUCUGAAAAGCUCUAUAAAUACAUUCAUUUGCUCUACUUUUCAAAUAAAAUACUUUUCUCUCCUUCCUACUCUCAUGUAUAGCAGUAUAAAAAAUUUCCCACUUCCAUGAGAAAAAUUUUUCUUGUAGUUUCCUCUGUUCUCAUCAAAAAGCCUAGCAAAAGUAUAAAAAAAUUAAUAAAAGGAAAGAAAGAGUACCUCAGUUAUCCCAAAAGCAAGUCUGAAACUCCUACUCCGAGUUUUUGUGCUGUCAAAUUACAGCACUAAAUGCUGCCAUGUUGGGAAUCUUUAAAAGCAAAAGGCUGAAGUUUUAGUUUGUGAGAAGAAGACAGGGAGGGAAAAGACAGGGAGAACAAAGAGAGGAAAGAAUUCUAGUGUACAGUAAUCCAGAAAAACAAUUGAAUUUGCUGCAGAAUGUGCAUGAAUCAGAUUAAGGUAUUCUUGUUCUAUAGCUCCCUUUUCUAUGGUCUGAUUUAAUACUUUCUUUAAAAAUCAACCUUAAUUAAAAACUCCGACCAGAAUAAAAAAGAAUUCUAACUGAGAUUCAGUGUUUCAGAACUGUCUGUGGUUUGUUGGUCUCCCAUAUAUGAAAAAAAUAACCAGGAAAUAAUGAGAACGUGUGUAUUUUAUAUCGUAACAGGAAAAAAAAAUAGUGAAUGUCUACAGACAUCAUUAACCUGGCUCUAAACAUCAUGUAUUGUCUCGUAAGACUUUAGGUAGAUUUUUACAGAUAUC
ensembl:lncRNA